rnacentral:rRNA from 1 species
GAUGAACGCUGGCGGCGUGCCUAAUACAUGCCAGUCGAGCGAACAGACGAGGAGCUUGCUCCUCUGACGUUAGCGGCGGACGGGUGAGUAACACGUGGAUAACCUACCUAUAAGACUGGGAUAACUUCGGGAAACCGGAGCUAAUACCGGAUAAUAUAUUGAACCGCAUGGUUCAAUAGUGAAAGACGGUUUUGCUGUCACUUAUAGAUGGAUCCGCGCCGCAUUAGCUAGUUGGUAAGGUAACGGCUUACCAAGGCAACGAUGCGUAGCCGACCUGAGAGGGUGAUCGGCCACACUGGAACUGAGACACGGUCCAGACUCCUACGGGAGGCAGCAGUAGGGAAUCUUCCGCAAUGGGCGAAAGCCUGACGGAGCAACGCCGCGUGAGUGAUGAAGGUCUUCGGAUCGUAAAACUCUGUUAUUAGAGAAGAACAAAUGUGUAAGUAACUAUGCACGUCUUGACGGUACCUAAUCAGAAAGCCACGGCUAACUACGUG